ensembl:lncRNA
AGCUUUAGAUAGUUAACGUAGCUAAUCUCGUGGUUUGCGCUCGCCAUUCUAUCUUCGUGUCGCCCAAAUGUUUCAGGGGCCGUAUUACAGAAACUUCCUAUCUUAAGUCCUAAGUUAAGAUAGGAGAAGUGGAGAUAGGAGUUUUCUCAAUUUGGUAUUACAGAAACAUAUCCUAUCUUAAUUUAGUAGGCCUAAUCCUAUUUUAUCUCAGGUUAAGAUAUCCUAAGUAGGCGAUCUAGCAUCGACAUUCAGCUUUUAUGUCUGUUACCUAGCAACUGAUUAAACUUGUUGUCGGAUCACGUCACUUCACAGCUGACAGCUGUCAUAAUCCUAAAAUAUCCAAUAACAACUGGUAGCUAUGGAUGGGAUUGGGAAAAAACAACGUCGUGCCGAAAAUUUUAAAGCGGACGAAAUAGAAAAGUUGGUGAGUUUAGUAGAAAGCUCAAAGGAAAUAUUGCAUGGGAAAUUUUCUAUGAGUCUGACCAAAGAAAAGAAAAACCAAGAAUGGCUGAAAAUAGCCGAAAAGGUGAGCACCGUAUCAGCGAUCAGUAGAAACGUUGAAAACGUCAAGAAAAAAAUUACCACACUGACAAGUGACGUUAAGAAAAAAGCAACGUUCAUUUGUAAAGACCGGAGAAUUACCGGUGGUGGCAACUCUUCCACUACCCCCCUGCCACCGGCGGAGGACCGGAUUGUGGGACUCCUCAGCAAGGCUGACUACGAGGGCAUCGAUGGAGGCUUUGAGACUGGGUUGCCAGUGGACUUCUUGGAGACCACAACUUCAGUCAGUGAAGUUGUUGAAGUCGAUGCUACACAACCGCCUCCUGGCGAACCUGCGGGAGGUUCUUGGGGCCAUCCGCCGGGCCGGGUUGCGGCUGAACCCUGCCAAGUGUUCCAUGCUGGCCAGGGAAACGCUGUUCUUUGGGCACGUGGUGAACGAGCAUGGCGUGGCCACUAACCCGGCCAAGGCAGCUGCAGUCCGGGACUGGCCGACCCCCAUUAACGCCGGUGAACUGCAGAGUUUUCUGGGCCUGGCGGGGUACUACCGCCGGUUCGCCCAAGACUUUGCCCCCUCCACCGCUUAACCGAGGCAGGCCGGCCGUAUGUCUGGGACGACGCCUGCGCCACGGCCUUCGCCCGACUCCAAGCGGUGCUCACCGAGGCCCCGGUCCUGGCGUACCCCGACGCUGGUCGCCCUUUCGUCCUCGACACCGAUGCCAGUAACGUGGGGGUCGGUGCGGUCCUCUCCCAGGGGGUGGGGGAGGGGGGAACGUCCCGUCGCCUACUUCAGCCGCAC